ACACUGUGAGAGACAGCCUACUGUACAGGUACUCUGAGAGACAGCGAACUGAUACACUGAGAGAGACUGCCUACUGUACAGGUACUCUGAGAGACACUGAACUGAUUCACUGAGAGAGACUGCCUAAUGUACAGGUACUCUGAGAGACAGCGAAGUGAUACACUGAGAGAGAUUGUCUACUGUACAGGUACUCUGAGAGACUGCAAACUGAGAGACUGCAAACUGUACAGGAACUCUGAGAGAGAGCAAACUGAGAGACUGCCAACUGUGCAGGUACUCUGAGAGACAGCAAACUGAGGGACUGCCAACUGUAUAGGUACCCAGAGCGACAGCGGAUUGGUACACUGAGAGACUGCCUACUGUACAGGUACCCAGAGAGACAGCGAACUGAUACACUGAGAGAGACUGCC